rnacentral:rRNA from 1 species
UACGGAGGGUGCAAGCGUUAUCCGGAUUCACUGGGUUUAAAGGGUGCGUAGGUGGGUCUGUAAGUCAGUGGUGAAAUCUUCGAGCUUAACUCGGAAACUGCCAUUGAUACUAUAGAUCUUGAAUUUUCUGGAGGUAAGCGGAAUAUGUCAUGUAGCGGUGAAAUGCUUAGAUAUGACAUAGAACACCAAUUGCGAAGGCAGCUUACUACGGGAAUAUUGACACUGAGGCACGAAAGCGUGGGGAUCAAACAGG